rnacentral:rRNA from 1 species
UACGUAGGGUGCGAGCGUUAAUCGGAAUUACUGGGCGUAAAGCGUGCGCAGGCGGUGGCUCAAGCCAGGCGUGAAAUCCCCGGGCUUAACCUGGGAAUGGCGUUUGGGACUGGGUCGCUAGAGUGUGGCAGAGGGGGGUGGAAUUCCACGUGUAGCAGUGAAAUGCGUAGAUAUGUGGAGGAACACCAAUGGCGAAGGCAGCCCCCUGGGUCAACACUGACGCUCAUGCACGAAAGCGUGGGGAGCAAACAGG